rnacentral:rRNA from 1 species
AGGAGUUUGAUCAUGGCUCAGAUUGAACGCUGGCGGCAGGCCUAACACAUGCAAGUCGAACGGUAACAGGAAGCAGCUUGCUGCUUUGCUGACGAGUGGCGGACGGGUGAGUAAUGUCUGGGAAACUGCCCGAUGGAGGGGGAUAACUACUGGAAACGGUAGCUAAUACCGCAUAAUGUCGCAAGACCAAAGCGGGGGACCUCCGGGCCUCGCGCCAUCAGAUGAACCCAUAUGGGAUUAGCUUGUAGGUAAGGUAACGGCUUACCUAGGCGACGAUCCCUAGCUGGUCUGAGAGGAUGACCAGCCACACUGGAACUGAGACACGGUCCAGACUCCUACGGGAGGCAGCAGUGGGGAAUAUUGCACAAUGGGCGCAAGCCUGAUGCAGCCAUGCCGCGUGUAUGAAGAAGGCCUUCGGGUUGUAAAGUACUUUCAGCGAGGAGGAAGGCGUUGUGGUUAAUAACCGCAGCGAUUGACGUUACUCGCAGAAGAAGCACCGGCUAACUCCGUGCCAGCCGCCGCGGUAAUAC